rnacentral:misc_RNA from 1 species
AGUUCUAGUUUGUAAUCCAGGUAGCGCUGGUUAAAAAUCAGUCGUCGAGUAAACGUAGCAUUUCGUAACACCUAAAAGGUCUAUAAAAUACCAGGAUUUCUUCAAUCUUUUCUAUCUAAGCUAUAUUAACGUAGAUUCACGUCAAGUAGUUUAGCUUCUAUAACAAGUGUCUAUUUAGCAGAAUGCCCGCAAAAGAAACCCCUCUCUUUGGUGGCUAUAUGAGCACUAUCCUACCACAAAAUUUGACUGAUGCAAGUAAUAUAAGGCAAAUCCCUGAUAACCAAGAAGUUUUUCUGAGUCAAAACGAUCAAAGUUUCAUAAUUGAACUUAUGGAAUACGUUGACAAGAGUGACGAAGAUGCUAUAAGGACUCACUUUGAGGAUUUAAGCGAAGCCAAUGAUGCAAAUAAUCCAGAAAAUUCGAAAAUUAAUUCAAUAGAGAAGAUUGAAAAUUCUAAGCAUUCAUUGAAUGGGUGCGAAUCUGCUUACUACGUCUAUGGCACUCAGAUGGUAUCAAAGUUUAAAGAACAAGCUAGAAAUAGAGUCGAUUUACAUUUGGUUUUAUUUCGUCUACCACAAUACCUAACAGAUAUAUUAGUAACCUUCAACAAUCCAGUAAUAGUCGAUACUCAAAGUAGCAGUUUUGAUCAAGCAACUGCAGUUUCCACAGCACUGACAAAAGAAGAUUUUGAAAAGAUUACAACAAAUUUAAAAUUAUUAGAUCCUGCCCUUUUUGGAUAAUCAAUUGUAUAAAAGAAGCAAAUUAAUAAAUCCUACAAGUAUAAAGUCAUUUUAUUCAUUAGAAAAGCAUUAAUAGUCCAUAAACAGUGCAAAAUAGUAAUAAUAAAAGAUAUAAACAUAUACAUAGAAACAUACAUUAUAGCGUCUACAACUUUCUUAAAUAAUUCAACUUUCGUCCUUCUUUCAUUAAAAAUGAGAAACAAAAAGGAGACAUUUUAGUUCUUGUGGAAAAAUAAUGAAAAACAAUUAAAAGUGAUAUGAUUUUGGUACUUCGGCGACUAAAACUUCUUUUAUAUUUAAAGAGUUUUAGUACAUCAUUGUAAUUAAACAAUUUUAAUUCUAAUCUAAUUGCAUAUACAGUAUAAAUAAUAUAUAUACUCUCUUAGGAAAGAUCAGCAAAAUUCAAGUUAUUUCUAACCAGAUAGAUACAAUAUUAAUAAUCGUAUAAAAAAUUAUUUGUUUUUUUUUUAAUUAUUCCCUUGCUAAAGAUUUAUUUAGAGAGAUUAACACUGAGAGUUAAGGUUUGACAAAAAAUCCUUUUGCUUUGAAACUAUGUCAGCUUAUAAAAUACAGUAAAAGGAGAUAAGAAAUAUAAACAUGCACACAUAGAUUUUCGCUUUUACUAUGUUUUGUAACUACUUGCUUAAAGCUUUGUAUCAGCUAACUUUUUAUUCUCGAAUGGUACAACCCACCCACUAUCUUGAACUCCGUUUGAAGAAUUUGGAUCAAUUUCUCCCUCGGUUAUUAUUGUAUCUGAUACUGGAUUUCCAUAUGAUUUCGGUCGCGUUUGAUAAUCAUUUGGAACUGAGUGCAUCUUUUUUGCGGAAUAAUAGCCUUUUUGUCUACACUUAAUACAAACAAAUGACACAAUAAUAGCCGUUAAACAGACUGUAACAAGAAUAGCAAUUGUGAAGAACAAUAUUAUAUUCUUCUCCCAAAGACUCUUCUCUUUUAUUUCAAGUAAUAACUCAAGGGAUACUUCCGGUCGAAGAUCGUUCUACAUAAAAAGUUAUUUCUGUUAGUAUUUGUUGGAUAAGUUUAGGCGCGUUCUAUAACUACGUCUAUUUCCUGAUAUAGUGUUAGAUUACUCUUAAGAAAUAUUAUAUCCUAUAUCAUAAUGAAAAACUAACCAAUGUCACACAUUCGGAGACGUUUUUAGUCCAGUCCCUUAAUCUAUCAUUUUUAUCGAACUCUGCUCCUUUAAGGUAAUCUAAUAUGUAGGUAUAACAAAAAUUAUCAUUUUUAUAUUUACC